UAAUAGCUCAGAUAGCUCUAAUAAUUCAGGAGGUUCGGGUUCUACUAAUUCGAGUGGUUCUAACAAUUCGGGAGGUUCUACACCUCCGCCAUCUAC
rnacentral:tRNA from 1 species